rnacentral:rRNA from 1 species
UUGGGAAUCUUGGACAAUGGGGGAAACCCUGAUCCAGCCAUGCCGCGUGAGUGAUGAAGGCCUUCGGGUUGUAAAACUCUUUCGACGGGGACGAUAAUGACGGUACCCGUAGAAGAAGCUCCGGCUAACUUCGUGCCAGCAGCCGCGGUAAUACGAAGGGGGCUAGCGUUGUUCGGAAUUACUGGGCGUAAAGCGCGCGCAGGCGGUCUUCCAAGUCAGUGGUGAAAGCCUGGAGCUCAACUCCAGAACUGCCAUUGAAACUGUUAGACUUGAGUACGAGAGAGGUGAGUGGAAUUCCCAGUGUAGAGGUGAAAUUCGUAGAUAUUGGGAAGAACACCAGUGGCGAAGGCGGCUCACUGGCUCGUAACUGACGCUCAGGCGCGACAGCGUGGGGAUCAAA